CCGGUGAUUGUCUGUGCCAAGGGCAUCGAGCGCGGCACGCAUCAGUUCAUGACGGAGAUCAUCGCGGAGGUUUUGCCUAGCGCCGUGCCCGCAAUUCUUUCGGGGCCAAGUUUCGAUGUCGAUGUCGCGNNNNNGACUGCCGUCACGCUUGCAACCGGCGACGAGCAGCUUGCGAAAGCACUGGUUCAGGCGCUCGGAUCGGCGACAUUCCGUCCCUAUCAUUCGACGGAUGUGCGCGGUGUCG
rnacentral:misc_RNA from 1 species